rnacentral:rRNA from 1 species
UCUAAUACCGGAUACGAGUCCGGGAGGCAUCUCCCGGGCUGGAAAGCUCCGGCGGUGAAGGAUGAGCCCGCGGCCUAUCAGCUUGUUGGUGGGGUAAUGGCCUACCAAGGCGACGACGGG